rnacentral:rRNA from 1 species
AUUGAACGCUGGCGGCAUGCUUUACACAUGCAAGUCGAACGGCAGCGCGGGCUUCGGCCUGGCGGCGAGUGGCGAACGGGUGAGUAAUACAUCGGAACGUGCCCAGUAGUGGGGGAUAGCUCGGCGACAGCCGGAUUAAUACCGCAUACGACCUGAGGGUGAAAGCGGGGGAUCUUCGGACCUCGCGCUAUUGGAGCGGCCGAUGGCAGAUUAGCUAGUUGGUGGGGUAAAGGCCUACCAAGGCGACGAUCUGUAGCUGGUCUGAGAGGACGACCAGCCACACUGGGACUGAGACACGGCCCAGACUCCUACGGGAGGCAGCAGUGGGGAAUUUUGGACAAUGGGCGAAAGCCUGAUCCAGCAAUGCCGCGUGUGUGAUGAAGGCCUUCGGGUUGUAAAGCACUUUUGGCGGGAACGAAAAGGACUGUGCCAAUACCACGGUUCGAUGACGGUACCCGCAGAAUAAGCACCGGCUAACUACGU